GAGAUGUUGGGUUAAGUCCCGCAACGAGCGCAACCCUCGUUCCAUGUUGCCAGCACGUCGUGGUGGGGACUCAUGGGAGACUGCCGGGGUCAACUCGGAGGAAGGUGAGGACGACGUCAAAUCAUCAUGCCCCUUAUGUCUUGGGCUUCACGCAUGCUACAAUGGCCGGUACAAUGGGUUGCGAUACUGUGAGGUGGAGCUAAUCCCAAAAAGCCGGUCUCAGUUCGGAUUGGGGUCUGCAACUCGACCCCAUGAAGUCGGAGUCGCUAGUAAUCGCAGAUCAGCAACGCUGCGGUGAAUACGUUCCCGGGCCUUGUACACACCGCCCGUCAAGUCACGAAAGUUGGUAACACCCGAAGCCGGUGGCCUAACCCUUGUGGGGGGAGCCGUCGAAGGUGGGACCAGCGAUUGGGACUAAGUCGUAACAAGGUAGCCGUACCGGAAGGUGCGGCUGGAUCACCUCCUU
rnacentral:rRNA from 1 species